UCACGCCCACACGGCGGCGCCUGCGCGCAGCUCCCCGCCGAGGCUGCGCGGCGCUGGGGCAGGCUUUCCGAGGGCCUCAGGGCCGCUGCGCCGUCGCGCGGCUGCCCCGGGGCCCUGUGGGCAUCGAGGAUCAGUCAGGGCUUCUCACGCCAGUGCUGACCGCGGGCAGGUGUCCCCUGCUCCACCGCGUCAGCCGGGAGCCCCUGAGCUGCGGACCCCAGGGCUGGACCAUGCCUCACCCCCACCGGGUGGAUUUGACCCAGUUGGUGCCUGGCCCGGCUGGGUGGGCGGGAUGACGCGGGGCCCGCUACGGAGUUAGAAGCCCGGGGGUUUUCAUCCAUCGGACCUGUCAACCAUAAAAGUAGCCAGCUGUUUGGAUCUGGCGGCCUAAGUAUCAAUGCUGAGUUUGAUCAGAGGCUGUUUUUUCAUGGAGACUUUAUGUCCCUGUAAAACCGAACAGUUUGAACAGAUUGGUGAUGGCUUCCUGUGAAGAGGCCUGGAAAGAGCAGAAUAGUAAGUCGUCCCAACGCUGUAAUAGCGUGGAGCCUGCAGGAAGCUUUGUAUCGUCCAAAUCAGCCUUUAAGUCUGGUGAAAGGAAGGAAUUUCAGUGAAACCUCGGGGCAUUCGUGUGCAGGGCCAGCAGGCUGCAGCCCCUGGACAGACGCAGACCUGGGACACCCCGAGCUGCUCCUGCCACACUCGCUGGUGAGACAGCGCGCUCGCCAGGCCAGGCUGGAUCGCAGCACCUUGUGUUGACUGGAAAUCCCUGCAUUCUGGGAAAACUGAGUUUGUCCAUCUUCUAAAACUCAGUUGCUUCAAUUAGCAGCUGUCUGAGUGAGAGAUGAUGGGGGCACGUGGCUCCUAAGGAAGCAGGAGGGAGGUGUUUGUAGCCAUGGGACCCCCGACCCACAGGGAGCCUCACCCGGGAGAGGACUCAGCAUGACCGGGGUCUCCUGGUCACCUCGCAUC